GAAACGACUGCUAAGACUGGAUAGGAGAUAAGAAGGCAUCUUUUUAUUUUUAAAAGACCUAGCAAUAGGUAUGCUUAGGGAAGAGCUUGCGUCACAUUAGUUAGUUGGUGGGGUAAUGGCCUACCAAGACGAUGAUGUGUAGCCGGGCUGAGAGGUCGAACGGCCACAUUGGGACUGAGACACGGCCCAAACUCCUACGGGAGGCAGCAGUAAGGAAUUUUCGGCAAUGGAGGAAACUCUGACCGAGCAAUGCCGCGUGAACGAUGAAGUAUUUCGGUACGUAAAGUUCUUUUAUUAGGGAAGAAAAGAUGGUGGAAAAACCAUUAUGACGGUACCUAAUGAAUAAGCCCCGGCUAACUAUGUGCCAGCAGCCGCGGUAAUACAUAGGGGGCAAGCGUUAUCCGGAAUUAUUGGGCGUAAAGGGUGCGUAGGCGGUUAAAUAAGUUUAUGGUCUAAGUGCAACGCUCAACGUUGUAAUGCUAUAAAAACUGUUUAGCUAGAGUUGGAUAGAGGCAAGUGGAAUUCCGUGUGUAGUGGUAAAAUGCGUAAAUAUACGGAGGAACACCAGAAGCGAAGGCGGCUUGCUGGGUCUUAACUGACGCUGAGGCACGAAAGCGUGGGGAGCAAACAGGAUUAGAUACCCUGGUAGUCCACGCCCUAAACGAUGAGUACUAAACGUUGGAUAAAACCAGUGUUGAAGUUAACACAUUAAGUACUCCGCCUGAGUAGUACGUACGCAAGUAUGAAACUUAAAGGAAUUGACGGGACUCCGCACAAGCGGUGGAUCAUGUUGUUUAAUUCGAAGGUACCCGAAAAACCUCACCAGGUCUUGACAUGCUUUUGCAAAGCUGUAGAAAUACAGUGGAGGUUAUCAAAAGCACAGGUGGUGCAUGGUUGUCGUCAGCUCGUGUCGUGAGAUGUUGGGUUAAGUCCCGCAACGAGCGCAACCCUUGUUGUUAAUUGCCAUCAUUAAGUUGGGGACUUUAGCGAGACUGCCAAUGAUAAAUUGGAGGAAGGUGGGGACGACGUCAAAUCAUCAUGCCCCUUAUGACCUGGGCUACAAACGUGAUACAAUGGCUGUUACAAAGGGUAGCUAAAGCGUAAGCUUCUGGCGAAUCUCAAAAAAGCAGUCUCAGUUCGGAUUGAAGUCUGCAACUCGACUUCAUGAAGUUGGAAUCGCUAGUAAUCGCGAAUCAGCAUGUCGCGGUGAAUACGUUCGCGGGGUUUGUACACACCGCCCGUCA
rnacentral:rRNA from 1 species